rnacentral:rRNA from 1 species
GACGAACGCUGGCGGCGUGCUUAACACAUGCAAGUCGAACGGUAAAGCCCUUCGGGGUACACGAGUGGCGAACGGGUGAGUAACACGUGGGUGAUCUGCCCUGCACUUCGGGAUAAGCCUGGGAAACUGGGUCUAAUACCGGAUAGGACCCUGGGAUGCAUGUCCUGGGGUGGAAAGCUUUUGCGGUGUGGGAUGGGCCCGCGGCCUAUCAGCUUGUUGGUGGGGUGAUGGCCUACCAAGGCGACGACGGGUAGCCGGCCUGGGAGGGUGACCGGCCACGCUGGGACUGAGAUACGGCCCAGACUCCGACGGGAGGCAGCAGUGGGGAAUAUUGCACAAUGGGCGCAAGCCUGAUGCAGCGACGCCGCGUGAGGGAUGACGGCCUUCGGGUUGUAAACCUCUUUCAGCACCGACGAAGCGCAAGUGACGGUAGGUGCAGAAGAAGGACCGGCCAACUACGUGCCAGCCGCCGCCGUAA